rnacentral:rRNA from 1 species
AACGAACGCUGGCGGCAUGCCUAACACAUGCAAGUCGAACGAGACCUUCGGGUCUAGUGGCGCACGGGUGCGUAACGCGUGGGAACCUGCCCUUAGGUUCGGAAUAACUCCCCGAAAGGGGUGCUAAUACCGGAUAAUGUCUUCGGACCAAAGAUUUAUCGCCUUUGGAUGGGCCCGCGUUGGAUUAGCUAGUUGGUAGGGUAAAAGCCUACCAGGGCGACGAUCCAUAGCUGGUCUGAGAGGAUGAUCAGCCACACUGGGACUGAGACACGGCCCAGACUCCUACGGGAGGCAGCAGUGGGGAAUAUUGGACAAUGGGCGAAAGCCUGAUCCAGCAAUGCCGCGUGAAUGAUGAAGGCCUUAGGGUUGUAAAGCUCUUUUACCCGGGAUGAUAAUGACAGUACCGGGAGAAUAAGCUCCGGCUAACUCCGUG